rnacentral:rRNA from 1 species
UACGAAGGGGGCUAGCGUUGUUCGGUAUCACUGGGCGUAAAGCGCACGUAGGCGGUUUUUUAAGUCAGGUGUGAAAUCCCGAGGCUCAACCUCGGAACUGCCUUUGAUACUGGGAAUCUGGAGUCCGGGAGAGGUGAGCGGAACUGCGAGUGUAGAGGUGAAAUUCGUAGAUAUUCGCAAGAACACCAGUGGCGAAGGCGGCUCACUGGCCCGGAACUGACGCUGAGGUGCGAAAGCGUGGGGAGCAAACAGG